GGCUGCAGACAGGGAUUGUGAGCACCUCCUGCGAUCCAUUUGGCACCUACCAGGCCCAACCACAAGCAUGAGAUGGCCGGGUGGUCUGUACCACUCUUGCUAGGAAGGCAGAUUUGUCUUCAGUUCACACACGUGUGCACACACAGAGAUGGACAUUCGGAGGAAGAGUCUAGUUCAAGGCCAGCAGAGGCUGCAAAUUUCAGUGGCAUCUGUGGCCACUCUGAGCCAGACCCCAUGCUGAACUCAUCCCCAAGCCACCCAGACUUGCCAGGCAGGGAUACUGCCCUUUUUGUACUAACAAGGAACUAAGGUGCAGAGUGGAGAAGUAACUUGUCCAACAUCACAGAGCCCAAGUCACAAAACAGUGGGGAACCCAGAAACAGAAUCAGGAGUCCACUCCGGAGAUGUGCUUUUCCAGCUACAGCCUGAGGCCUUUUCAGUGUGUGUUAGUUCCCCCACUCUGACGAUGGUUCCCAUCAGGGUGGGGACUGAGCCUCCUUUUACUCCAUUAGUGGAUAUGACUGUGAGCGGAAGGAGCAAGAUGAGGAGGAAAAAUUCUCUUACUGCUCAGAACCCUUCCAUCCCACAUGGUUCAGACACCUCUGUGGAGAGAUUAGACAUGGUGUCUGCAGCCAGACUGCCUGGAAAUGUAGUCCCUUUCCCCCGUUUAAGAGUAUGUACCCUUGAAAUCAGCUUGAAAAAAACUAAGGAUUGAUUAUCCAAACUGGAGGACAAUUUUGCAAUGGGGGAGUAUGAAAGGGAAAACUUUUUAAAAAUAACAAGGAAACAAACAGUAAAAAUACAAAGACUAGAAGAUGACAAAAGGAUCUAUAACUUGAGAAUAAAGAAUGUGAAUGAAAAGCUGGGGCACUAAGGGGUACUAAGAAGCAAAGGAACUACAAAGGUUAUUCACAGAAAUAAUUAAGGAAAACUUCCCAAACAUAGGAAAAGGAAAUGAUAUUCUGAUAUAUGAGGCACACAGAACUCCAGCCACCUACAACCAAAACAGAGCUACACCCAGGCAUAUAAUAAUCAAGAUCCCAGAAAUUCAAUAUAAGAACAAAAUAUUAAAAGCUGUUAGAGACAAGAAACAUAACCUAUAGAGGAAUGCCCAUCAGAAUAAUGGCAGACUUCUCAACACAAACCAUCAAGUCAAGAAGAGCCUGGAGUGAAAUAUUCCAAACCCUGAAAGAAAAUAACCUCCAUCCUGGAUUGAUAUGCCCUGCAAAACUGUCUCUAGAAAUUAAUGGAGAAACAAGAUGCUUCCAAGACAAAGAGGAACUUGGGAAAUUUGCAACCACCAAUCCAAGUCUACAGAGAAUACUGUAGGGCAUUCUAGAGAGAGAGAAAAGUACUAGGAUUCCAGGAACAGUGGCAGAGAGCCCUCAAUGAAUGAAGCAGAAAACAGAAUGAAGAAAAUAAGCAAACAACUGAUGGCAAACAAGAGCAUAACAGAAAUGAGGCAGAGAAGAUUUUAUUCAAAACUGAUAUGAUUGAUAGUAUCAAGUCUGAGAGUAUAAGCAACUACACUGAAGAUGACAAGACUCUAUGAUACACAUUCUGGUUUGAUAACUGCUGGUGUUUGAAGUUCUAUAUACAAAGUUGUGUUUUUAUUAAUAGUUAUGUACUGAUAUAUUCAAUUAUACUAUGUCUGGUGAUAUAGCCAAUUCUAUUGGCAAUAACAAGAGACAACACAGGAACCAUGGUAGAACUCUUUGUACAACAGUCUUAUAUGUUUAUUUCGUUUCAUGUGUUUAUAGAAAUAUGUUUUGUUUUGCCAUGCUUUGUUUUGUUUUUCUCUCUCUCUAAUAUAGAAAGGAUAGAAAUACAUGUUAAGACUCAUGCAUGUGUAGAAUCUAUAAACAUUUUAUGAGAACUGAUCUUAUGACACAUGAUGAAAUGAACAGAUACUUGGAAGAAAAAGAGACACUAAAAUACCCAAUGCUGAUCCUGGAGUGUCAUAAUGUGAAACCCAGCAAUAGUAUUAUUCUUUGUUCAGAGUGAUAUUAGCCUGCUUGGGUUUAUUCAAUCUCAACAUGAUUGAAGAUAUGGAUAACAGGCGUGUACAUUUAAAUAUAUAGGAUUGAUAACCAUAUUUCUAAGUUUUUGUUGGAUAGUUGAACAGAACUGGUUGCAAUCUCACUGUUUGAAUCUCCACUUUAGUAUCUUGAAUAACUAUUUGUAAGAAGACAAUCUGUAAUCAUCAACUAGUGAUUUCUUAUUGUUUAUUUUUUCUUUGAAAUUAUGUAUUAUUUCUACCCAUUUUCUGUUUUGUUUAGUCUUUCUUUAAAUUAAAUUUUAAAAAAGGCACCACAGUACCCAGUGCUGAUCACAUAGUGUCAUGAUAUGAAAUCCAGCAAUACUAUUAUUCUUUGUUCAGAAUGAUUUUAACCUGCUUUAGUUUGUUUAAUUUAAACAUAAAUGAAGAUAUGGACAACUG